rnacentral:lncRNA from 1 species
GUAUUCACUGGAAAUAACUGAAGCAAACAGGGCAAAACCGGGGUUGUAUCCACCUGAAUAUGUCAAAUAGAAUGAGUGGCAUAAUGAAUAUACCCCAUGCCACAUGAUUCAGGUUGAUCUGUAACACUGGUUACACCACUGAAUGAGUUUGCACUAAUGAAUAUACCCAUGCCACAUGAUUCAGUUGUAUCUGACACUGGACACCACUGAAAUGAGUUGCACAAAUGAAUAUACCCCAUGCCACCAUGAUCAGGUUGUAUCUUUUACACUGGUUACACCACUGAAGAUUUGCACAAAUUAAUACAUCCCAUGCCACAUGAUUCAGGUUGUAUCUGAUAACACUGGUUACACCCUGAAAUGAGUUGCACUAAUGAUAUACCCAUGCCACAUGAUUCAGGUUGUAUCUGUAACACUGGUUACACCACUGAAAUGAGUUUGCACAAUUAAUACAUCCCAUGCCACAUGUUCAGGUUGUAUCUGUAACACUGGUGUCACUACCACUGAAAUGAGUUUGCACUAAUGAAUAUACCCCAUGCCACAUGAUUCAGGUUGUAUCUGUAAUACUGGUUACACCACUGAAAUGAGUUUGCACAAAUUAAUACAUCCCAUGCCACAGAUCAGGUACACUGGUUACACCACUGAAAUGCAGUUUGCACUAAUGAUAUAACCCCAUUGCCACAUUAUUCAGGUUGUAUAUCUGUAACUUGUUACACACUGAAAUGAGUUUGCACUACAUGAAUAUACCCCAUGCCACAUGAUUCAGGUGUAUCUGUAAUACGUACACCACUGAAAUGAGUUUGCACACAAUGAUAAUACACCCAUGCCACAUGAUUCAGGGUAACACUGGUUUAACCACUGAAAUGAGUUUGCACCAAUGAAUACCCCAUGCCACAUGAUAGGUAACACUUGGUUACACCCCGAAAUGAGUUUGCACAAUGAAUAUACCCAUGCCACAUUUUGGAUUUCAGGUAACACUGGUUUACACCACUUCAAAUGAGUUUGCACUAAUGAAUAUACCCCAUGCC